AAUGGGCGAAAGCCUGACGGAGCAAUGCCGCGUGUGGGAUCAAGCAUUACGAUGUGUAAACCACUGUCAGAAUCUAGAAAUACUGAUCAGAUUCAGAGGAAGGGCCGGCUAAUUCAGUGCCAGCAGCCGCGGUAAUACUGAAGGCCCGAGCGUUAUUCGGAAUCGCUGGGCUUAAAGCGUACGCAGGCGGAUUUGUAGGUAUCUUGUGAAAUCCCACGGCUCAACCGUGGAACUGCAGGGUAAACCACAAAUCUUGAGACAAGUAGGGGUUAGUGGAACGAUAUGUGGAGCGGUGAAAUGCGUAGAUAUAUAUCGGAACGCCAAUGGCGAAGGCAGCUAACUGGGCUUGUUCUGACGCUCAGGUACGAAAGCGUGGGUAGCGAACGGGAUU
rnacentral:rRNA from 1 species